rnacentral:rRNA from 1 species
AACGAACGCUGGCGGCAUGCUUAACACAUGCAAGUCGAACGAGACCUUCGGGUCCAGUGGCGCACGGGUGCGUAACGCGUGGGAAUCUGCCCUUUGCUACGGAAUAACUCAGAGAAAUUUGUGCUAAUACCGUAUAAUGUCGAAAGACCAAAGAUUUAUCGGCAAAGGAUGAGCACGCGUAAGAUUAGCUAGUUGGUGAGGUAAAGGCUCACCAAGGCGACGAUCCUUAGCUGGUCUGAGAGGAUGAUCAGCCACACUGGGACUCAGACAAGGCCCAGACUCCUACGGGAGGCAGCAGUGGGGAAUAUUGGACAAUGGGCGAAAGCCUGAUCCAGCAAUGCCGCAUGAGUGAUGAAGACCUUAGGGUUGUAAAGCUCUUUUACCAGGGAUGAUAAUGACAGUACCUGGAGAAUAAGCUCCGGCUAACUCCGUGCCAGCCGCCGCCGUAACAC